rnacentral:lncRNA from 1 species
UUUGAGGGGUCAUUUGAACUUCGAUUUUGGCAAAUUUUAUAUGUACGGACUCGUGGCGAGACGAGGAAUCAGGUGAUGUGACUUUUGUAAUUUUUUUGAGAAGUAGGCCCGGAGCUCAGAUUUUGCCAUCUUCGUGAUUUUUAGCGUUUUUCGAGUAAUUUCGAUUGGGCUAUGUUUAUUUUGUAUAAUGUAACAUAUUCGUUGUGAUUUUGACUAGAUUCAACACGCGAAGAGAUCGACUCAAGAGGAAUAGGGCAUUGCGGACUAGCCUACGACCGGUUAGAGGUGAUUAUUAUGUAUAGAUGAUUGCUUGAGGGUUUGAAACCCCGGUUUAUCACAUGGUGAGGCUAUAUUAGGGCGUGACUCGCACCCCAUGGGAGGUGCGGGGCUGUUUAUGACUGGGGAUUGUGACUUGGUCCAUCCCGAACAAGAAUGUAUUAUAUUUGUGACUGAUACGCACCCUGUAUUGAAUUUAUUUGGGCUUAUUGCCAUGUUUGGGGCCUUGUGCCAAUCUGUAGCAUCCUCAGAGGAUGAAUAUCAUUGUGAUAGCAUGAUUUGUAUAAUCAUUGAUCCCAGUCGUGUGUUUAAUCACUGUUAUGAAAUGCUAAGUCAUUUUUUCCUGAAGUUAAAUAACUAAAUUAUAUUCUUCUUAAUAAUUGGAAACUGGGAAAUUAAUUUAAUCUAUUAUGUGACUCAUAUGCAUAAUGUGGAAUGAGUAUGGAUCAGGCUGCUCGCCGCAGCAGUGAUAUGGUGAUAUUGCGCUUGUGCUGUAGGAGCCCCUGCGGAGUCUCUACACACCCCGAGUAAGCACCCUCGAUAUUAAAUGGAUCGGGUUGUAUGCCGCAGUGGGUCAUGUGCAUUACAUUGCAUUAUCGUAUUAUACUUGACUGAUAUACUUGUUAUUGUUUUGGAGUUGGUUCAUAGUUAAUGUGUCAGACUGUUAGUUUUAGCUUUACUUUGUGGCAUUUCGUGGAUUCUUAUCUUCAGACAUUUUAUAUACUUAUUACUUACUGAGUUGGUAGUACUCACCCCUACUCCCUGCACCUUGUGUGCAGAUUCAGGUGCA